rnacentral:lncRNA from 1 species
CUCCAGACGCACCGCCUUAAAAGCUGUAACACUCCCCGAGAGGGUCCGCGGCUUCAUUCUUGAAGUCAGUGAGACCAAGAACCCACCAAUUCCGGACACGAUAGUGCUGCCAAACCAGCCUGGAAAACGCGGCCUUCUGGACUUCUUGUACCGUGCGAAGAAGUGGCAAGUACAUGGCUGAGAGCAGGGGGUCUGGUGCAGGGUGACCUAAUCCAGUCCUGAUGAUGCCGAUUUCUACACAAGCAACCACCUUUCUGUGCCUCUGUGUUUUCAUCUGCAAAAUGGGGACGGUGAUGUAGUAGUGCCUGUUUUGGAGAGUACAUGAUUUAAUACACAUGGAGUAUGGGGAACAGCG